UCGAGGCUGAGGGGAAUGAGAGCGCAUCCAUCCGGAAUCGAGCCGCAGAGAGGGGUGGCCGGUUCCAUCCAUCGAAGACCGCCAGUGUGCGUCCGUCCACCUGAGGUCAGGGAUGGGAUCGAGUCCAUCCGGUCGAUCCCUGGGUUUGCACCGAUGCGACGGACCCGGUCCGUUCAGUUGCAUAGACGCGAGUUGCGCGACGGGAUUGGGUGUGGCGAUGAACAGCCGUGAAGUUCAAUCGUGAAGGAUGAUUGAUUGAGAGGUUAAUCAGCCAUCAAUUCCAAUCGAUGCUCCGGGUAGGUUCGACGUGUUACAGAUUUCAGCCCGCUCUGCUUGGCUAGAAGCUGAUGCCCAGCUGAAUUUGUCGGCUAAUGGACAUGUCAGUAUCAGUUUCCUCUUUAAUUAUGCCUCAUCUCAAAAACUGUACACUUGGAUUUCAUGGGAGAAGCGAAGCAGCCCUGGCUAUGGCUGUUGGGUGAUCUGCCGGGUUGAAAGAGGCGAUGAAUCAUCAGUUCUUGGAAGUGUUAAAGACAACUGAUGUGCGUUGCCGUUCGCCUGUAUCGUUUAAUGGAGAUAUACAUUGUUAUUUUCCUGACCUGCAGCUGCUUGACUUCAUGCGCCUGAAUAUGUAACUUCUGCCCGUCCUUCUCUUACUGUAGCAGCUAUGUUUCACGGUUGUAUUGCCAACUUUCUUUAUUUUCUCUUUCCCCUACGAUUCCCUCUUCCACUCAGCAAUUCUUUUUUGCUAAUGUCUUUCCAAACUCAGUUUGUGCAGGGGUUUGUCAAUCCUGGGUCUGGUCAACUAUUUGAUUCAGACAGAUCAUGGAGGCUGGUUCUCAUAUUUUGCUUGGUGAAUUCUUCAAUGCACAAUUUGCCAUGGCUGCUGAUCAGACAAUUAGUUCACUUGCAGGACUGCCACACCUCACCUCUUUAUGCAAAUAUAAUCCAACAUAGUCUAUUUCUGUCAUGUGCUUCAUCCAAAUGCUAACUGAACUUCAACAUAAACCAGUUACUUGUUUUGUUGUCUAAAGUUAUUUCAGACUUAGAACAUUUUGGUGUUUAGAGGUAGCUUUUCUGUACAAAGUUGUCGUGCUGCUAUAAUACUAACAUGUCACAAAUUGUCAGGAGAUAUUUAGAUAGAACUGAUUGAGUUAACAAGUUUAUCAUGAUGUAAUAUAUGCAUUGUGAUACAUUCUGCUAUACUGGUUCGAUGCUUGAUUUGUCAGUGUCGUUUCAUAUUCCGAGGAAGUCUCAUUCUUUGAGGGAGAACCUGAUUGAUGGUGAACCUAGGGACUUGGAAGUUUGCUUUGCCCAUUGGUUGAGAUUUAACGUAUGAAUAAGACUAACUUAUUUUACAACAGCACAUGACCACUUCUCAACAGAAGGCAAACUACUUACAUACAAUAAUUAUAAUCUCACUGAUAUGUCUGUCUCUUUUAUUAAUUUAAAUAAUUGGCAUUACUAGCAUAUUUAUCAAUUUGUAAAACAGAAUAAUCAUUUCUUUAAUUGUUCAUCUUUUUUAUUAACUGUUAGUAUAUAUGUAAUGCUCACUCUGCUUUUGCAGGCCCCUCGAGUCAUUUCAGUCCUACAGUGUUCAAAAAAUAUGUGUAAAGUGUAAACAGAUUGAUGGCUUAAGUAGACCUGAAAAGUUCAAGGAAGCUAUCCUUAUAUAUUUAGAAUUCCAUCUAUGCAUACAUCAGAAUAACUAUGUACUGGACCAUCUACGAUAUUCAUAA